rnacentral:rRNA from 1 species
UACGGAGGGUGCGAGCGUUGUUCGGAAUUACUGGGCGUAAAGCGCGUGUAGGCGGCCUUCUAAGUCUGGUGUGAAAGCCCGGGGCUCAACCCCCGGAAGUGCAUUGGAUACUGGGAGGCUGGAGUACCGGAGAGGAGGGUGGAAUUCCUGGUGUAGCGGUGAAAUGCGUAGAGUAUCAAGGAGGAACGACCGGCUGGUCGGCAAAGGGCGGGACC